CGGGCCCUGGGGCCGGGAGCGGGCGGCCGCACCUCCGGCCUCCCUGCCGGGCUGCAAGGAGGCGGCGCCCGGAGCGCACCCGGAGCGAGCAGGCGCGGAACAGCGGACCCCGGCCGGGCCUUCCCGCAGUUUUUCCGGCCGCCUUGGAGUGCAGGGUCCCCGCGCGGCCCGGGGCGCCUCCCGCUAGCGGCCCGACCCCCUGCCCUCCCGGCCCCCGCCAGGCUCCCCGCACGUGCAGGCCGCGCCUCCCACCGGCCCGCGAGCCCGGCGACGUCACUGCGGCUCUGAUGCGCGCUCAUGGAGGCCCGGGCGGAGGCCGUGCGACGCGGGCUUCCUCCGGGAGGUCCCAGUCCCGGCAGCCCGCGGCCGCAUCCUUGGCCCUCCUCCAGGGGAACCUCGAUCUUUCCAAAUUCGGUGGGGCCGGCUGUCCUUCGAAUACUGAUAAGGACAUGAGCGCUGAGUAAAAGAUUUCCGGAAAGAAAUAGCGGGACCUAAGAAAGAGACUAAUCAUAGCCGCCAGCUAGAGCUCCAAUGGUGUGCUCAGCGCCCUUAGGAACAAUAAUAACGAUCACAGCCAUAAUGGCCACCAUUUAUUGAGCGCUUACUCUGUGCCAGGCACGGUGUUAAGCGCUUUGCCGGCAACAACCCUCGGAGGACCUCCGGGCGGGCUGACGUCGGCCUGCAGACGCCUGGACUCAGAACCCCGAAGCAAGAAGCUUCCCUUCAUGGUGGCUGCCAUCCCUCCGGUCCACCAUUUCAGCCCUGGCCCUGCUUUCCCCGACCACUCUUCCCCAUCUUCUGUGCUCCUGCCAUCCCAUCACCGGCUUCCAAGGCUUCCCCAGUUCCUGCGCAGCCGGUUUUGUCAUCUCCUGCUGAGAGGCUCGGACACCUAUUCCCAUCCCAUUAAAAGCUUAGGUGUUUGCAAGUCAAA